UCCAAGAUCAGGAGAGAUUUGAGCCAUCUAUUGGAGAUAUGGUCCAUCCAAGUCAAGGGAGAGCAGAUCCUAGCCAUUUAUCAAGAUCUGGAGUUUCAGAUCCUAGAUCUGAAUCGAUUCAGCCGUUGGAUCAUAUCUGGAGAAUUCUGGGCCGUCCGUGCAGAUCUGAGAUCAAAUUUAAAAGGGAGAAACUACCGUGUUUUCCGUCAAUCUUCCAUAGUACAGUGCUCGCGUCAAACAGAGGAGGCGCGAUCCUGCUCCGGCGAACCCGAUCCACCUUCCACCGCUGGCGGUCAAGAGAGGUCAAGGGCGUCCCUUCCUCCGGUCAUCAUCCACCUGUCGCUAACCGGCGACGCCACUUCAACCAUCUGAUUUCCAACUCUGCCGCGACUUCGGGCGAGGAAGAAGAAACAGCGAAGCUGCAAGCCAUCCUUCUUCUUCCCUGAUCGGUUCCGAUAUGAGAGGAAGAAGGUCAGAGUUACGAAGGAGAUAGGGUUUUACCAUUUCCUUUGAAAUUCUGUUCUGUCAUUCCAUCAUCUUCAGCAUUCAUCUCCGAUUGAAGCUCUGCCCGAUCAUCAUCAACACCGAGUUAUUCUGCUUGAUCUUGAUCCGAUCUUAGCAUGGAGAAGCCAUAGCUUGGUUGUACGAGGUUGCACAUAGUCAAUUUACUGAGUCAUAUCCAGCAUAUCAAAGCCCACAGAGAGUUCAGAAUGAUUUUAUAGCUAUGCGGAAGAGGAUUCGCGGUAUUCAACAAUUCAAGGAGGAGACAUUGCAUGAAUAUUGAAAGAGAUUCAAGGAACUUUGCUCCAGUUGUCCUCAGCAUCAGAUCAUUGAUCAAUUGCUUAUUCUACAUUUUUAUAAUGGGUUAUUGCCGAUCGAUUUGUACAUGGUGGAUAAAGCUAGUAGAGAGGCCUUGAUUGACAAGACUCCUAAUGAAGCUAUGAAACUUUUGGAAAACAUGGCCGCCAAUCCUCAACAAUUUGGAAAUGGAUAACCGGUUACCAUAAGUGCUUAUGAGACCAUUCCUACUGAUAUCGAGGUGCUUGGGAAGAGGGAUUGUAGUGUUUUUGACAGGCCUGAUCUCGUUUCCAUUACUCCACAAGACUCCUCUAGUAUUUCUUAUUGUGAUGCUGUAGUUAUAAGGAUUUCUGACUCUACUGAUAUUGUUGUUACAGAUGUUGUUGAUGAUGCAGGUAUUGAUGUUGAUGAUGAGGAGAGUGUAGGGGAUUGCAUAGUGGAAGCAAUACUCCAAGAAUCAUCUCUCCCAGUUGCACAAUCACCUGAACUAGAUGUUGAUGAUGUAAGUGUAGGGAAUUGCACAUUGAAAGCAAUAUACCCCAAGAAUCAUCUGAGCAGAGUUUGAGCUAUUAUUUGAUGAUGAGGAGACCAUAGUCACCAUUCUAGAACCUCCCGGUACCUUUCAACAUGACAAGAUUAGUAUUUCUUGUGAUUCAUUAGAAAAUUUCAUAGAGGAGAUUUAUACUUUCCAUUUGCAUAGACUUCCAGAGUGGUUGCUUCAAUUGAACCGCCUACAACCUCCAGGGAGAACUUUUAAGGAGAAAAUGGUAGAAGGAGAGGUGGUUACGUCAAUUCUUAGUAUUCCACCUCCAGCUUAGAUUUUGAACCUUAACCGACUCCAACCACCAAGAAGGAUCAUUCCACUACCAGCGUGGUUCCUACUUCUAAAUCUUCUUCAACUACCCGAAAUAAAGGGGAGUCCGUUCUUUGUUUUUCCUUUCACUUUAUGUUUUUCUUUACUUCAUACUUUACUUUUAUACUUUGUUUGCAUAUUUUACACUUUGUUUUGUCUUCCCUAUACUUUGUUUGGUCUAUAUAGCAAUUGAUUUUAAAUAAAUUCUCCAUGUGUGAUUCUUAGUAGUACCUUGAGGAUCAUAAAAGUUCUUCAAGUUUGACCAUUAAUUUUUAGGUCAUUUUACAUGAUUGAAUGCUUUACUUGCAUGCUAUUGGUUAAUAUCGUGAUGGAUUCUAUUUUGAUUAAUUGAGUUUGAUUGUUGAAAAAUUACCUAGAGAGGACUACCUAAAGCCUAUACUCUAUUAUCUUUUUGUGUGAUAUGCACUCAUUCCAAUUGAAACUCUAGAACUUCCUUUGCUUCUUUUUGAAAUCACAAUAACAUAUGUGUGCAGGAAUAUGAUGAAGGAUAUUUCUUUCCCUAUCUUCCUUUCAAAAGCUAGUUGAAUAAUUCACUCCACAUUUUUAUCUCUCACCAUAUUUGCUUUGUCAUCCUUCCAUUGAGAGUUUUGGUUGAUUAUCGUGAUGAGUUAGAUUGUUAGAUGACAGACAAGACUUUAAGUAUGGGGGAGGAUUUGCAUAUGUUGGAGAACUUGAAAGUUUUGGAUGGCUUCAUGAGAAGAUUGUGGCUGUGAACUGUGUAGUUUGUUUCAGUAGUUAUGAAAGAGACUAUCAUUGCUUUUGGGGUUUAUGAAGUUGGUUAUGUUGGCUGGCUAUUGGAUGCACUUUGAUUUUUGAUCUUAUUUUAGUGUGAAUCUUAAAAGAUAUGCUCAAGGAUUUUAAAGACUUUGGAGGGUUUAUGGGUGUUGAAUUCUGCUUUUGGAGCAGGAAUUAAACCACAUGUUGAUGUUUUUGUCCUUGGUUCUGUUUGGGGCAGUUUAAAAGUAGGGAAGUCUGAUUUUGGCUGGGUUGUAGUGCUAAAAAAAAAUCAUGUAGAGCUUAAAGAGAAAAUUUACUGGGUUUCUGUUGGAACGGGUUUGAUUCUUCAUCUAUUUGAAUUCUUGUUGUGUGUUCUGUGAACAUUGAGGGAUUAGAGUAAGGAUCUUGAUUGCUUAUUGUUGCUGGUGUUGUUUUAGUGUUACCAAAGUUCCUUCAUUGUGAAACCUAUGAAUGCAGAAAGUUAUUUGCAGGAACUGAAGUAGUGUUUUUGAGCUUGGAAAUGAAUUGCUUCAGGAUCUGUUAUAGUAGAGUGUGGAACUGAAGUGAUGUGGUGAUACACUGACCAUUCCUGGAAUCCUAAUUCUGAACCCAUGGGUUUAAGGUUACAGAUUUCAGGAUCUAGCUCAGUGCUAGAAUUCUGAAUUGAGGAAUCAGAAUCCUGAAACAAAAUUCUUGAAGCUAAGUUAUAAACCUGGAAGCUCUGCUGUGAGUUUCUGUGAAGAUCAGUAUUGUAUCACAGUUCAAGUGCUGUAUUUGUCAUUGACCUUUUGAAUCUAUCAAGAGGAUCCUGAGACAUCAGAAUAUUGUAAAGUGAUGGUCAAAUUCUGUAUUGACACAGAAUCUGGAUAUUAGGAAGAACUGAAACCUAAAGAUUUGAAUUUCUGAGAUACCCUCUUGAACUCCUAGAAAUCUGAUUUCUAACUUGAAUAUCUGAAUGUCCGAUAUUGUCUUUGAAGAAAAAUGCCAUGAAUUAUUGGCAAAGGAGUCAACUUUGUUUACCUCUCCAACCAUACAACAAGAUAGUAUUUCCUUUGCUGAUCAACAAAUAAGGAUAAUCCACAGCAGGAACUGCAGAAGUUUAGUGUCUAUAAAUUUAUGCCAAUUCAUUAUGCUGCUCCUGACCAGUGUUGUUAUGAAUUUAAGUUUUGAGCAUUUCGGUGCUAAAUGAUACUCCCUUUCAAGUUGAACUCCGUAUAACUUGAGCUGGUAACACUUUGAAAUCUCAAUCUGAAACUAAAGUCUAAGCUGCAGACUUCAAAACCAGAUUCAAAUUCUGUUUCUGGAAUUGGUAUUCCUGAUAUUCCAGGAAUUAAGAAUCAUCAUAAGAUGUGUUAGCAGUAGAAUAUACAAAUGUAUUGCUGGUCUCUGAAUCUGAGUUUUGAAGUCUUAAAAUCAGAAAUUCUUUAACCUUGAGUCUGAAACUAAAUUCUGAAGAUCCUGGAACCUGUGGAGCUCAACUUAGUGAGUUUCUGCUGGAUGUUCUUCUCUGAAGUUUGAAUGACAGGAAAAAAAAAAUUCAGUUAUCUUUUGGUUAUCGAAAUUUGGAACCCCCAUCAAUAUGAUUUCCUGAAUGACACGAUCGAUAUUUUGAACUCUGAUUUUGAAUUGUUUAAGGGCAGGAAAUUCUGUUAUCAAAAACAAAAAUUGAUUUCUGUAAUUCCAUUGAAACAAAUCCAUCAACUAGUUGAGUCCCUGCACAUAGGAAUUAACAUCCUUUUGAGCAUAAAUGACACUUGCUUUCAGAACUUCAAAUUACAAACCCAUGUAAAUGGAUUCUGUUAAGUAGAAUGGAAGGAUUCCCAAUUGAAAUUCAACUUUCCAUAUAAUCUGCAGUUUUGUUUGAAGCAAUUAGGAUUCGAAGUUCUUGACCCUCCUAUUGUUAUUAGGUGUGACAACAUCUCAAAUUCUAUCAAUUCAGUGCCAAAUGAUACAUUCUUCCCAGCUGAGUUCUUCAUGAGUCAACCAAAUUAUAUCAGAGUCCAAGUUUUGGGACUAGAUUUUUUUUAAAAAAAAUUUUGAAUUCAGGAAGCAGUGAAUUUCUGAAACUGUUCCUUUUAAAUUUUGAGAUGUAUGAAUUGAAGCUCCACUCUUUUACAACCUACACAUGACCCAACCCUUGAACUACUUGAAUUCAGAUUCUGGGCAUGGCUACUGAAUUCAGAUUCUGUAAACCAGAAUGUUAGAAAAUGGUGGUAAUUCUGAAUUCCUUUUGAGCAUGGUUAUUGAAUCAUUGAAAUGCAGAGUUUGAUCCCAACUUAGGGGCUUUCUCGAAUACAGGAAUUAGGGAAUUGUAGCACUCAUUUGGUAAGUUGUGUGGUUCAUAUAAUAAAUGGUGACUGACACAUGAAGAGUAUCAAGAGAAGAGAUAGCGUGCCAAGAUUUUUGGGUGGUUAUCAAAGUGAAGGAGAGUUAGUCUUAAUCUCUUGUUUAAUCAUUGACAAAUAAUAUUCAUCUCUUUUCACAUCAAAUUGGUUAACUCAUCAGGUUUAUUCUUCCAAUACUCUCACUCUCUCAUCUAUUCUUUUCCCUUAUCCAUUUUGUUAGCUUCACUUAACAGCUUUUUGACUCCAUUUAAAUUCAUAAUAAAUCCUUUUCAUUCAUAUAUGUUAUGUUUUAUGGUGGUGGAGAAUUAGAAAAUGAGCAAGCUUAUAGUAGUGAAAUGUCAUUAAGUUGUAUUGAGUGAGCUCCACUUCCAUCCAUGAUUUUGAGAGUUAGAGUAGGUACAUUUACCCGGUGAAAUUUUAUCUUGCUUAGUUAUUUCAAAUGGAUUGAAAUCACCAUGCUUAUUCAUUAUUGUAGGGAUUGUACUUAUGAUUGUUUUGAUCUUUAAAUGAUCUUAGUUAAAUUUCUUUUAUUAUCUUCUAGGUAUUGUUAGGAAAUUAUUAUGGAGAUGAUUUUUAUCUUGCUUAGUUAUUCCAUGUUUCUUUGUUUUGUUUGCUUGCUCGGGACGUGCAAGAAUAAGUGCGGGGGAAUUUGAUAACGAUCAUUUUGUCACAUUAUUUAGGAUCCUAUACUUCAGUUUUUGGAGUUGAUUGUGUGUUUAGAUCUGCAUUUAUAUCACAUGUUAAGAUUUAUAUCUUUUUUUAGAUUUUAAUGUACAUUAUCUCUUAUUUUUGGAAUUAUGACUAACAUUUGAAUGUGAUCUUUGUAGGGGAUCAAAGGGGCUAAGGACUCGAUCAGAUCAGAUCAAAUUUAGACUCAAAUCUAGUCUUGAUUGAAGAGAUAAAACUCUGAAGUAAUUUGGACCGUCAAUCCAAGAUCAGGAGAGAUUUGAGCCAUCUAUUGGAGAUAUGGUCCAUCCAAGUCAAGGGAGAGCAGAUCCUAGCCAUUUAUCAAGAUCUGGAGUUUCAGAUCCAAGAUCUGAAUCGAUUCAGCCGUUGGAUCAUAUCUGGAGAAUUCUGGGCCGUCCGUGCAGAUCUGAGAUCAAAUUUAAAAGGGAGAAACUACCGUGUUUUCCGUCAAUCUUCCAUAUUACAGUGCUCGCGUCAAACAGAGGAGGCCCGAUCCUGCUCCGGCGAACCCGAUCCACCUUCCACCGCUGGCGGUCAAGUGAGGUCAAGGGCGUCCCUUCCUCCGGUCAUCAUCCACCUGUCGCUAACCGGCGACGCCACUUCAACCAUCUGAUUUCCAACUCUGCCGCGACUUCGGGCGAGGAAGAAGAAACAGCGAAGCUGCAAGCCAUCCUUCUUCUUCCCUGAUCGGUUCCGAUAUGAGAGGAAGAAGGUCGGAGUUACGAAGGAUAUAGGGUUUUACCAUUUCCUUUGAAAUUCUGUUCUGUCAUUCCAUCAUCUUCAGCAUUCAUCUCCGAUUGAAGCUCUGCCCGAUCAUCAUCAACACCGAGUUAUUCUGCUUGAUCUUGAUCCGAUCUUAGCAUGGAGAAGCCCUAGCUUGGUUGUAAGCUCCAUUCUGAAAUUCGAUACUUCUUCGAUGUAUUAAUUGCUUGCUUGUUUUCAUGUUUUAAUUCUGGUAUGAAUUCAUUGUUGGUUGAAUUGUAAUUGACUUGAAUUCCCCAUGUUUCGGAUUUCAUGUAUCUGGGUCUGUUUUGAGGAUGCUUUCAAUGUGUCUGAUGAAAUUCCUCAACCAUUCGUGUUA